CCUUGCGCUAAAGCUCUUUACCGACGCUGCGCGUUAUUCUGCACGUUAACUCAUUCUGAGUUCAAUCUCGAGUCUAGAUGGUGUUCGAUUACUUUUGUUUUGCCUCGUUCAGCCUGUAGGGGAAUAGCGUGCUUGCCGUCUCCUCGGCCAUUUCAACUUUGGACUUCAACUUUCUAUACAGUUCAGUCCUGAAGCCAGUUCGUUGGUCAACAAAUUGGCCAUCAUCCGGCGGACCCUCACCUCUAGGGUAGUCCCUCCGAUAAUGGCGAGACGGGCAGUCUGGCAAAUGUCUCCUCUGCACGGUCCAGGGCCUCCAUGGUGUGGAGGGGCAGCUCCAAGGAGCCCAGACCCACCGAGUCAGUCUGUCCACACUUGCAGGAGUGGACGUAUUGCCUGAAUUCCUCCCGCAGGUCCUUCACCUCCUAGGACAACUCCGUCACCGCAGUCAGCAGUUUCUGCAUAGCCACAUCUAUUGACAAAGAAAAUAAUAACAUUUGAAUGUAAAAGCUGACGCCCUUUUACUUAAAAAUUUCAGAAAGUGUUGAACAACUUUUGAAGAGUUAUAUAUAUUUAAGCAAUGCCAUUGGUUUAAGCUAAUUGUUGAUAGAUGGUACAUCCUUCAAUGAUUCAAAGAAUUGAGGAAAGAUUUGCACAUGAAUGAAAGCCUAGAAAUAGCCUUAGAACAUAACAUUCCUGUACUUGCCUUUUAAUGCCAUUCUGGCAGUGCCUGGAGAAUCUGUGACAAGUAUGAAGAGAGAAAUUAAACCAUUUGACUGGA